rnacentral:rRNA from 1 species
GACGAACGCUGGCGGCGUGCCUAAUACAUGCAAGUAGAACGCUGAAGGAGGAGCUUGCUUCUCUGGAUGAGUUGCGAACGGGUGAGUAACGCGUAGGUAACCUGCCUGGUAGCGGGGGAUAACUAUUGGAAACGAUAGCUAAUACCGCAUAAGAGUAGAUGUUGCAUGACAUUUGCUUAAAAGGUGCAAUUGCAUCACUACCAGAUGGACCUGCGUUGUAUUAGCUAGUUGGUGGGGUAACGGCUCACCAAGGCGACGAUACAUAGCCGACCUGAGAGGGGGAGCGGCCACACUGGGACGGUGACACGGCCCAGAGUCCUACGGGAGGCAGCAGGAGGGAAUCGUCGGCAAUGGGCGGAAGUCUGACCGAGCAACGCCGCGUGAGUGAAGAGGGUUGUCGGAUCGUAAAGCUCUGUUGUAAGAGAAGAACGAGUGUGAGAGUGGAAAGUUCACACUGUGACGGUAUCUUACCAGAAAGGGACGGCUAACUACGUG